GGUUUCUUCUUUGUUCAUAUUCAUGGGUUUCCUUCUUUCUUUCUUUCUUUCUUUCUUUCUUUUUUUUCAGGGA
rnacentral:ribozyme from 14 species